GAGUAAUGUCUGGGAAACUGCCUGAUGGAGGGGGAUAACUACUGGAAACGGUGGCUAAUACCGCAUAACGUCGCAAGACCAAAGAGGGGGACCUUCGGGCCUCUUGCCAUCAGAUGUGCCCAGAUGGGAUUAGCUUGUUGGUGAGGUAACGGCUCACCAAGGCGACGAUCCCUAGCUGGUCUGAGAGGAUGACCAGCCACACUGGAACUGAGACACGGUCCAGACUCCUACGGGAGGCAGCAGUGGGGAAUAUUGCACAAUGGGCGCAAGCCUGAUGCAGCCAUGCCGCGUGUAUGAAGAAGGCCUUCGGGUUGUAAAGUACUUUCAGCGGGGAGGAAGGUGUUGUGGUUAAUAACCGCAGCAAUUGACGUUACCCGCAGAAGAAGCACCGGCUAACUCCGUGCCAGCAGCCGCGGUAAUACGGAGGGUGCAAGCGUUAAUCGGAAUUACUGGGCGUAAAGCGCACGCAGGCGGUCUGUCAAGUCGGAUGUGAAAUCCCCGGGCUCAACCUGGGAACUGCAUUCGAAACUGGCAGGCUUGAGUCUUGUAGAGGGGGGUAGAAUUCCAGGUGUAGCGGUGAAAUGCGUAGAGAUCUGGAGGAAUAC
rnacentral:rRNA from 1 species